AUCCCAGACCAAAUGUCAUUUUCUGAGAUGUCUUCUCUGGCCCUUUCCCCAUCCUGGAAUUAAAUAAUAAUUAUGUUGAUUGAAUGCACACGGCGUAUGAAGUGACCUGGUGUCCCAGGUGAUUCUAAAGUAUAGCCAGAGUUGAGAACCCACUGGAAUCAAGGAUUGAAUAAGAGCAGG